rnacentral:rRNA from 1 species
CAGCCGCGGUAAUACGUAGGUGGCAAGUGUUGUCCGGAAUUAUUGGGCGUAAAGGGCUCGCAGGCGGUUUCUUAAGUCUGAUGUGAAAGCCCCCGGCUCAACCGGGGAGGGUCAUUGGAAACUGGGAAACUUGAGUGCAGAAGAGGAGAGUGGAAUUCCACGUGUAGCGGUGAAAUGCGUAGAGAUGUGGAGGAACACCAGUGGCGAAGGCGACUCUCUGGUCUGUAACUGACGCUGAGGAGCGAAAGCGUGGGGAGCGAACAGGAUUAGAUACCCGGGUAGUCCCUGUCUCUUAUACACA